rnacentral:piRNA from 1 species
UUCAUCUUGGAGCAUGUGCACUGAAGAC